GAUGAACGCUAGCUACAGGCUUAACACAUGCAAGUCGAGGGGCAGCAUGGUCUUAGCUUGCUAAGGCCGAUGGCGACCGGCGCACGGGUGAGUAACACGUAUCCAACCUGCCGUCUACUCUUGGACAGCCUUCUGAAAGGAAGAUUAAUACAAGAUGGCAUCAUGAGUUCACAUGUUCACAUGAUUAAAGGUAUUCCGGUAGACGAUGGGGAUGCGUUCCAUUAGAUAGUAGGCGGGGUAACGGCCCACCUAGUCUUCGAUGGAUAGGGGUUCUGAGAGGAAGGUACCCCACAUUGGAACUGAGACACGGUCCAAACUCCUACGGGAGGCAGCAGUGAGGAAUAUUGGUCAAUGGGCGAGAGCCUGAACCAGCCAAGUAGCGUGAAGGAUGACUGCCCUAUGGGUUGUAAACUUCUUUUAUAAAGGAAUAAAGUCGGGUAUGUAUACCCGUUUGCAUGUACUUUAUGAAUAAGGAUCGGCUAACUCCGUG
rnacentral:rRNA from 1 species